AGAAAAAAAUGAAAAAAAUGGUGGGUUGUGGUUAACAUUGUAAAUACUGCUUUGUAACUGUAAUAGCUGAGAGUAAUUCAUUAUCGCAGCGUAAUUUGCAGUAAUCAUUUCGUGAACUAUAUAAAAAUGCUUGGUUAAACAAAGUAAAUUCAACUUCUGAAAAAUUUGGACCAAAUCAGACUGUAUUUUGAAUAUCAUAAAAACCAGAAAAAUUCUGGUUUAUAUUUUGUAUACAUGAUGACAACGAAGCCUAUUUGGAAGCAUAUUCGGAUUUAAAAAAGUAGGUCGUGCAUCGAUCCAUGUGGAUUUCAUGUUUAAAUGGUACAUUACAUGUAUCCUCGACCAUGUGCACGGAAUUUAAGGAACAUGAAUUUUUUAUACGCUCAUUCAGGAGUUGAACGUUUACUGGCACCUACAAGGGCAGCAAUGAUAGAUUGAGUGGAUACGUCAAAAGAUCAAAAUUAACUGAAAUGAAAAUAUUAUCACCAUGAAAAAACAUGUAUAACACAUUUCCCCAAGCUAAGUCGAUGUUAUUGUCAACAAGAGAUCCAACAUCACCAUUGCCUACUCCACCGCCCUUGGUAACACCCUCAAUACCAUCUGGAACUGAAUGUGUUGUACCAACAACACCAAUUCCAAUUACUAAUUUCACUGAUACAACUACUACAAAUGCUUGAAAAUGUUAUCAAAUUACCAAAACGUAAAUGUUAUCGGUGUUAUCGGCGUCAUUUUCGUAAUGAAACUGUACGUAACGUAACCGUCGAAAAAAUAAAUUACCCCAAGAUAUGAUAAACCAUUAAUAUUUAAUGUUAUAACUGAAAAAAUCCUUAAGGAAGAAAGCAUACCUUAUAAUUUUAAAUGUUACUGAGUAUGUCACAAAGAAAUUAAAGAAAAGGAUAAAGACGUAUUAAUUAUACCUCAAUCCUAUAGAGACGCCAGUUUUAACGGUGACGAUAUAUUACCGCAUAAACAAACAAUUUUUCAAUGCACAAAGUGCCCAAUGGUCUAUAAUAAAAAAAUUAAACUAAAAUAUCACGUAAACAUAGGAGACAACAACGAAAAGAACGUAUUCAUACGGUACUAAGCAAUCGUUCGAAAAUGUAUUCAUGCAACUAUUGUAAUUCAGAAACAGUAUAUUCUACGAUCACAGAAUUACGUCAACAUAAAAAAUUACAUAUUACAUCAAUGUGUUGUAGAAUGGGCUGUGGAAUAAAUUUUAAUGCCUCUCUUGAAAGAGAAUUUCAUGAAUCUAUUUGUAACGAACGAUUUUCGACAAAUAAAUUAGAUCAAUUGGUAAUUUGUACCCGGUCUAGAAGUCUGGUUUAGUAUCAACCAGUAAAUGUCCUUCUAUAGACUCUUAUCGAACAUAUCAUAGAUGAAGGAGGAGUUCAGAUGAAAGCUGCGAUUCGAAUUCUUGAAAGACAUCUGUAAAAAAUAAAAGAUAGCGAAAAGUAAUUAUGCGAGAAGUUUCAAUUGGGGUGUUUCAGAUUGUUUCACAAUAACCACAGAUACUAAUGGCCAUAAAAUUGUUAGAAAAUUCAAGUCGAAAUGAAUCAUCAUUAAGAAAUGGACAUCAGUCACCUAACUCUUUAAGAUCAAGUAGACCUAGGACUAGAAAGCAGUCAAUUAAGGAUAUGGACAGUAUGAAAUUAAAUCCAGAAUUUUUCGCGAAAACUAGUUCUGCAUCUAUAGGCUUUCAAAAAAAAAAAAAAAAAUCGUAGAAUCGUACAAUAUUACCUUAACAAUAACAAGCAAGAAAAUAAAUAGAUAAAUAGAUUUGCGAGAUAUGAUGUGGACGAGGUGUUUGAAAUGAGUGUAAGAAAACAUUUACCAACCAGAGUUUAAGGCAACCACUUACGUUUCAAUUAGCCAUAUGUGUCAUAUUAGUCACCUAACUCUUUAAGAUCAAGUAGACCUAGGACUAGAAAGCAGUCAAUUAAGGAUAUGGACAGUAUGAAAUUAAAUCCAGAAUUUUUCGCGAAAACUAGUUCUGUAAUAUAGGUUUUCAAAAAAAAAAAAAAAAUCGUAGAAUCGUACAAUAUUACCUUAACAAUAACAAGCAAGAAAAUAAAUAGAUAAAUAGAUUUGCGAGAUAUGAUGUGGACGAGGUGUUUGAAAUGAGUGUAAGAAAACAUUUACCAACCAGUAAGUUUAUUAGCCCCAGGAAACGCGGUAUUAGUUCACUGGACGGUAUUAGUUGCACAUCGGAAGACUAACAUCGAUCGGUUCGUACUACUGUAUCUCAUAAACUUGGCAUUGGCAUACUUAACUUGAUCAGCUUACAACAGCUGAUAUAAUGAAUGACAAUUCAAUUUACACAUGAGACAACUCAAGCAAUGUCUGAAAUAAGAUCACGGGGAUAUGGUUUAAUUAUUAAGAAAAACAAUGGACUAAUUGUGCGCUAAUCAAAAUGAACAAGAAAUGUAAUGUAUAAUAAAUAGAUUGGUCGCAUUUGAUAAAGUCACCAACAGCAACGAAAAGUAUAAUUGGUCUAGUCAACUUAAAACUUAAUUGAAUGAAGCAUAUAUGCCGGAGAUUUGGGAAGCUCAAAACCCACCUCCGCAAAAGGGCAAUUUCAAUUAAUUUAAAACAACUUUGGUUAUAAACUUCUUAUCAGAGAUAAAGAAAAUACCUUGGAUUCCCGGUUCAGCCUUGUAUAUCAACAUCUUCAACAAACUGAAAGCACACAAUACUUGAAACAUGCGUACAAUUUCAAAACAAUAAAGCUAAUAAGCCAACUCAAGUUAGUGGGAAAAUUCACUAUUAAACUUUGGUUAAACGAAAUUAUAUACAAAUGAAAACAGGAAAACUUAUGUCAGUUAUGAAAAGUAAAAGUUAUGUACAAAUGAAAACUUAUGAAAAUACGUUUAUUAAAAAAUACUUCGCCACUAUAACUAGUAGUUAGGAAUAUUUAAAAUUUAAAUAUUCCGAGUGGUAAUUAAAGUUAAAGUAAGGUCAAAGUCAUUGAAAAAAAAUUUUACACAAGCGAACAAUGGCUUACCUGUUUAAGUACGAUUUAGUUACAAAACAACGAAAUGGAUUUCUUCCAAAAAAAAACUGCAAUCUUGUAAUAUUCAUGGCCAUUCACGAAACUAUUGGAGGAUUAAACAACAAUGAAUCAGUGGUCGGAGUAUUUCUUGAUAAAAGUAAGGCUUUUCAUUGUCCACAUUUAAGUUGGUUUUAAUCUCACCUCAAUAAAAAUUAUGCAGUGCCAAUACAGCCUUCAACAUUAUACAUGUGACGUGCUACAAGGGAGUGUGCUUAGACCCCUUCUUCUGUUAAUAUGUGAACGACCAAGAAACAUAUUAGCACCAAAAUUAUCCCAAUUGAUAACAGUUUCACACUCAAAACACAAAAUAUUUUUGAAGAAAACAUCGUAUCCAUGGAUACUUUUAUCAGAAUACCAAAGCUACCAAAUGGGCAUGAUGAUCCAAAUGCCCUUCCUGCGAUUCGUUGAGUACUUUUAUCUUCUUCGCUUUUUAAACAAUUUUUAUUUAAAAUUCAAUUUUUAUUAUGGUAUCAAGUCUAUUUUUACAUUUGAAUAGGUAAUGUGGCAAAUUCGAUAUCAGUCAUCAACCCUAGUUACUGUACUUCUAUCUCACAAAUUAAAAUCACUCGCUCUCAAACAUCGUAUCAAUGGAUACUUUUGAUCAGAAUACCAAAAAUAUUGCGAAAUAUUAUAAAAUUGCCCUCCUGAUAAAAAGUCUCAAUGCACAUGAUGAUCCAAAUGUUCUUCACACGAUUUUAAAUUCUUGUUAUUUAUUGACAAAAACCAAUUGGAAAAGCUCAUUUUUUGAAAAUAUUAAUUAGUUUCCGAGAUAUUAUACCUAGGUAAAGACGUUCUCGAGAAUAAAUUCCUCUUAACGUAAGCGGUGGCCCUAAAUUUUUAGGAUACCGAAACAAUGAUACAAAAAAAGAAUGUAUAAUAAAUAAAAUAAACUUACUGGUUGGUAAAUGUUUUCCUACAAACGUUGCACGGAAACCACGGUUGAAUAUUAUGUUUCUUAGUUUCAUGCUUAGACACCACGUCCACAUCAUAUCUCGGAAAUCUACAUUUGCAACAGCGAAAAGGACAUCUACUGGUUGAUACUGAACCUAAACGACUUCUAGGCCGGGUACGAACUCCCAGUUGUUCUAAAUCAUUUGUCGAAAAUCGUUCAUUACAAAUAGAUUCAUGAAAUUCUCUUUCAAGAGAGGCAUUAAAAUUUAUUCCACAGCCCAUUCUACAACACAUUGAUGUAAUAUGUAAUUUUUUAUGUUGACGUAUUUCUGUGAUCGUAGAAUAUAUUUUUUCUGAAUUACAAUCGUUUCAUGAAUACACUUUCGAACAAUUGCUUAGUACUUUAUGAAUACGUUCUUUUCGCUGUUGUCUCCUAUGUUUACGUUCGUGACGUUUUAGUUUUUUUUUUUUUUAUUAUAGGUCAUUGGGCAAUUUGUGCAUUGAAAAAUUGUUUGUUUAUAUGGUAAUAUAUCGUCGCCGUUAAAACUGGCGUAACUGUAGGAUUGAGGUAUAAUUAAUACGCCGUUAUCCUUUUCUUCCUGAUCAAUCUCGUGGGCGGUUUGUCGUACCGGUCAGGCUUGCGUAUCGUAAUGACUUUGGAAGCUAAGCCAGCGGUAGAUAGUAUAACACUAUUUACUGGUAGGGACUCCCUUGCUGGAAAGGUUCCAAAUGAACGAUCAGACCAAGAUCCACAAACCCUCUAAUUCAGGGUGUUGUGCGAUCCGUUGCCUAUUGGAUGGUUUACAGCCGGACAGCCGGGGGAAUACCUUAUUCAUCUAAAACAAAACUUCUCGUUUUCAGUGCCUCACAUACAUAGUAGUAGAUACUAUUUAUCUUUUCUACAGAUAAGGUGCUCAGUAAAUCAAUCAUUUGUUGUUCAAGACUAUCUCGGGUGUGGAAAUACUGGUUUAUAAAAUGUUUUCUCGUGGGAUUAUAAAUUGGACAUUCGAGUAAAAAGUGAGUCAGGGUUUCCGAAACCUCGAGGUUGCAUAUGUCAUACAGUUCAUUUUGUCGCCAUUUAUAUAUGCGUAGUUUGAGGCAAUUUUUAUAUGCGUUUUUAAAGUUAAUCGAUUUUUUUUAUAUAUUCCGGCGUACCUUCUUCCGUAAUUAUGAACUGAUACAACGGGCUGAUACUUGAUUCUUUCGUAUCCUCGUAAGAUUCUUUCCGUAUCCUCUAUAAGAGAUCGCUUAUUAAAAUUAUUUAAAAUUUGUAAUAUAUUAGCCCAAUACGUUUUUCGCGUUUUAAUUUUGCUAAACGUGACCCAUGUCCAAUCUUUCCAAGAUGUCUCUGAGAUGAUUUGCCCAAAUGUAUUUAUUAUCCAUACUCUUAUUUUGAUCAAGAUUUACCAACCGGUCAUAGCAUAUUUUCACGAUACAUUUUUCGUUAAUUUUUAAAAUUUUUAAACACCAGUAAAUCAUUCUUUUUUAAGCAUCUACGAUUAUGCGUUCUUUACCAGUUUUAGAUUUGAUUAUGUAAUUGGGUGUGCAACGUUGCCAUUUAAAGACAGUUUUAAAAAAAAAUAGACUAAACACCAAGUCUCAGCACCACAUAAUUGUUGAAUAUUUAAAAUCAAUCUUCAAAAAUAAAAUUAAUUUUUAUUUAUUUUAAAUAACAUGUUAACAGAACAUUGUCAUUAAUAAUUGUCAUAUCAGCUCU